CAGCGCCGCGGGAAUACGUAGGGCGCAAGCGUUAUCCGGAAUUAUUGGGCGUAAAGAGCUCGUAGGCGGUUUGUCGCGUCUGCCGUGAAAGUCCGGGGCUCAACCCCGGAUCUGCGGUGGGUACGGGCAGACUAGAGUGAUGUAGGGGAGACUGGAAUUCCUGGUGUAGCGGUGAAAUGCGCAGAUAUCAGGAGGAACACCGAUGGCGAAGGCAGGUCUCUGGGCAUUAACUGACGCUGAGGAGCGAAAGCAUGGGGAGCGAACAGGAUUAGAUACCCCCGUAGUCCCUGUCUCUUAUACC
rnacentral:rRNA from 1 species